CCAGUCGGCCGGACGACCGCUGCUGCGAAACCGAAAGGUUGCAGGGGAGGAAAGUCCGGGCUCCAUGGAAACACGGUGCCGGGUAACGCCCGGCGGGGGCGACCCCAGGGAAAGUGCCACAGAAAGCAAACCGCCCGUGCGUUCGCGCGACGGGUCAGGGUGAAAGGGUGGGGUAAGAGCCCACCGCGGGCCCAGCAAUGGGAACGGCACGGCAAACCCCACCGGGAGCAAGACCGAAUAGGGGCGACACGGGCGCAAGCCCAGCCUGUUUCCAGGUCCGUCGCCCGGGUUGGUCGCGAGAGGCGUCCCGGCAACGGGCGUCCCAGAUGAAUGGUCGUCACGCGGCGGUUCGCCGCCGCCCUACAGAACCCGGCUUACAGGCCGGCUGGCAAU
rnacentral:RNase_P_RNA from 2 species